AGCGGGAGUUUCUCAAAGCAAAAGCCUUCACGGCAUUUUAGAACGGCUGCAUGAGCUGGGGGAAAAUAAUGUUUCCUAUUAAUUCUGCAGCUGGCUUUCUCUCUCUCCUCUCCAAGCCUCAUUAAUGGCAAAGCUGCCUUCUCUCUCUUCGGUCCGCCCCGAUCUUCACUUUCACAGGAAGAGCAAAUAUUCCCGUGUCCGGAAAAACAAACAAAGUACACUUCGUGGAACAAAGAGCGAACACAAACUCAUCCUGAAAUAGUUCUCUCAAGUUUUGCUUCAAGUAUUUUCAAGCUCUGUUAAGCACAUACAUUUAUAAUUGUUUUCUCGAUGAAGAGGAUUGAAAAGUGAACACUAGGAAGAAUAUCUUAAGAAUACCCUUAGAUGAGUAAUCAUCGAAUGUGUCCUGUCCUGGUUCCUUCAGGGAAGAAACUGGAUAAGCCCACCUGGGAUCACAGAGCAGCAGCUUCCCAAUCUCGAAUUCUUUGAUAUAUUAACUAAUAGAUGGCAGAAUUUGUUCUUCUCUCAAGGAUAUAAAACUAGAAAUAUUUGAAAAUGUCCAAGCUAAUCUUGUCUCAUUUUGCAAGCAGUAGAAUUUUAUAUAUAUAUACAUACAUAUAUACACACACACACACAUAUAUAUGUGUGUGUGUGUGUGUGUGUGUGUGUGUAUGUAGGAGACAUCAUGAAAAAUCCAAGCUAGUUGUAACUAUUAAGAAAGUCUUGGUCAGAAUAUGUUUUUAAACUCAAGACGAAGUGUUAUUUACACGUUCGUAAUUAAAUUUAGUGAGGAAAGCAAUGUUCCAUGAAAACAAAACAAUAAAAAGAACUCUAUAUUCCCUUUCUGUUUUGACUAAGUUUUGAAGACUUCUGAAACUCCAAACUGUGAGGAGACUUGGGUCUUAAUGGUGCAGGACAAGGCAAAUCACCCCAAGUGGGCACUCAAGUCCCGCACCAGGAGAAAAGGGGCGGGUCCUUGACUGCGCGCAGGAAAGAAAGUACACGCCAGAGUUAGAGACAAAAUCAAAGUUUAUUAGAGAAGGACUGUGGGAUUAAUUCAAACAGCCUCUCCCGGACACGGGAGGCAAAGAAGCCUGCUGAGUCAGCAGCCUCAAGGAGGACAAUGAACAAAGCGCUCCUGGGCUGUGCUUGUCCCCAAGGACACUUCUCGUUUCUCCCAUGGGCACGAUCUGCCCCUUUGGCCGUUCCCAUGGACAUUAUCUCCCUGCUCUGCUCGAGGUCCUGCGGAACACUAGGGAGGCAGCACGUCUGGUUCUCAUCUGCAGAGGGAAGACCCUUCCUCCCCGGGAUGAGGCAAUCCCUCUCCCCUUCUGCUGGCAUAUAAAACAGUGGCUGCUCUUGGCCAUAUAUCUUUUCCUGCAGCUCCAACCGACCAAAUGCUGAGGCCUCCUUGUAUUGUAAUAAACAGCACUUCUCACCC